UUCUUCCAAUGUUCUCUAGGAUGAUUGUGCUUGAGCAGGGAGCUGGAACCCCUGUGGUCCCUUCCAGACUUGCCCAUUCUGUGAUUUUGUUUCUGUAAAUGGGAGGACAGAUGAAGGGAAGCAUUGCAGUAUGCUUGAAUCAUGUAUUAUCUCACUGGCAUUUGCUUAACAAGCCUUAUUCUGAAAUGCAGUUUUCGCUUUGCCCUGUUUUCAAAAUCUUUUAAAAAAUCCUUUUAGAAAAAAUUAGGCAGAGGUUAAUAGUAGCUUUGCUUUGAAAUCUGCUUAUGCUUUACAUAACAUAAAAGCCUGCCUGUCUAGGUUGGAUGUCUGCUUAGUUCUGUGCCACCUUGUAUGAGCAUAACAAGUAAGACUCAGUUUUAAACAACAGAAGGUCAAGUGAAUUCUAGUUAAUCCAUUUAUUUCAAUAUGCAGAAGGUGGGGGAGAAAAAGAUAAAUCAGUGCAGAAUAGGAUGAUACUCAAAUGGUACACUUCUCAUGUAAAUUCAGAGUUGAAACAGAGGAAAAUUUAGCCUGUUCAUCCACAGUCUCUACUUUGGGAUCAAUUAUAUUCCAAAGGAGAGAGUUUUCCUCAUUGGGAGCACCACUGUGGCCAGCAGACAGCAUCUAGCAGAUCUUGUAGCAGCCACAAGGAACACUGCACCUUGUCAAAUUUGUCUCUGGGCUUGGAGAAGUAUCUGUAGCUGUGUUUCCUACAGAGAAAAUGCUAGUUGGAAUGCUUCUCUCUCAAGAAAGAUAGAAGGCAUCACUGAGUCAAGGGGUUUCUACCCAUUCUAUUCAAUAGAUUUCAGAACCAUUCUGCAGCCCCUUCAAUCUUUGUUAGCUAUGGUGAAUCACUGGUCCUACUGUGCUUCAGAAAUGGAAGGAAGGCAAGAGUGUCCUAUGCCAGGUGGAAGUUUUUAUUGUUUAAAAAUGUCACCAUGUAGAAAAUAGUGGAAAAGUUGUGUAAGAGCAGCAUGGAAGCAAGGGAGGACUGUUCAGUAGAUCUUUUUCAUAUCUGUGGCAUGGAAAUAGAGAGCUGGCAGCAGUGUUCCAGUGGCUGGAAAUCUCCAAGGUAAUUUCCAAGAUUUGCUGAUAGCUUACAUGAAAAUUGGACAAAUAAUUUUACAAAACAGUAUUUCCCAGCUAAUUCCUCUUCUCUGUAUGCUGUUUCCUCAGUAAAUGGCUGUUCUAAAGCCAAGAUUUA